UCUGAGGACACAGAGAAGCGUUAGGUGGAGACGGUUCAUGGUGAUCGCCUCCUGGAAAAGACGCCGUCACUGAUUUCUGUCCAGGCGCCGCUCCACAGACGGACCGAGGACAUCUUUGGCAGCUCCCCGACUGAGCAUAAAUAAAAAAAACUUGACUAAUUUUGUAAAAAUGUUUUACUGAAGGUUUUAUGAUAAAUUUCUUUGUGUGAAUGCAAGCUUUUAUAUUUCCAGUCUAUUGUUCGUUUAUUUACUUAUUCAUAUUCAUAUUUGGCCAAAAAAGAGGGGGGGGGGCAGAAUCGUGCAGAGUUUCAUCUUUUUAAAUAAAAUAUUUCUUUUGUAUGUUUCUGUUUGGUUAUUAAAAGCAUCUGAACGAUCCUGAGAGAUUCCAAAACAUUUUCCACAUCCAAACUUCACUUUUCUGAAUCCUUUUCAUCCCAUCUGUUAAGAAAAUCACUACAGCUGCAGACCGUGUCCAAUAAUCACUUUAGACUUUAACGCAAACACGUUUUCUUGUCAGGAUAAAGGUUUGGAAAUGGAAAAAGGCCACCGUCUCUUUUUAAUUUGUUUAAGCUGAUUUAAGCUUUAAAAUUAGAAUUUCAUUUCCUGUCAUGAGGACUUAUGUUUAAUAUGUUCUUGUAUUACGGUUCUCUUCAUGAAAGAAAUAAUCAGAACAGAUUGAUAAUAUUAAGUUACAACAAUGUUCUCAAAAAUAUGUUCAUUAUUUUCUCACUAAGUCAUUAAAAGUUAGAGAAAUGUUGUUUCUUAGAAAACAAUUCAAAUGAGCGGUUUUUGGUAGUUGACUCACUCGUGUUCAAGUUAGCAUAUUUUAUUAUUUUAACUUUGGCCUCAAAGAGGUUUUUCUAUUAACUUUAAAAAAAAAACUUUUUCUUAUUUGAACAUUUAUUCUUUUAAAAAAAAGAUAUUUUUCAUGUCAAACAUUAUAAAACUAAUGAAAAUCUGCUUGAUUUUAGCCAAAUUCUAAUUUCCAUCUACAGGAUCCUGGCAGGGUCAUGUUGAAGAAAUCAAACAGAUUUUCGGAGGAAGAAAAAACAAAAGAUUAUAAAACACAAGUGUAAAAAAAAGAAAAAUACAGGAUAAAACUAAAUCAAAUGGAACACUUUAAAACCAUCGUCAGUUGAGUAAUAAUGUCUUUUAAAGACGACUAAACUUGGACUUUCUUUGAAUGUAGAUGCUGUUCCAGAAAGUAAGGAGAAUGAAGGGGGGGCCACAGUCACUCUGGAAGGUUUCUGCUGGCAGUCGGCUAACGACUAAAUAUACCGGAUGGGAUCCCUGCAUGUGUCUGUCCCCCUCUGGUCUUCCCUGGGGGGUUCUGCGGCAGACCGAUGCUGACCUGUGAGCUCCAGAGGAGCGCAGAGGGGGCCCUCAGCCGGAGCCAGAGGAGGCAGGCAGGGGUGUUUGGACUCCGACUCCUCCAGACUCUGCACCAGCCGGAUGGAGGCGUUCUGGACAAACUGCACCAGCAGCUGCAGGGGACGUGAUGCAGAGCAGAACCCGGAUUUAGUUAAAGCCGGUCAGUCUGAAUCUGGGAAACGGAGCCAAAGGUUUACCUCUGGUUUGGAGUCCAGCUCAUCAGAAAGCAUGGGUCACCCGGAGUGAAACCUGGAGGAUGGAAAGUAAAGAUUACGUUGUGUUUUUGAAGCGUUAUGAUGACAUAAUAAAUAACAACCAAACCUUGA